UUAUGUGUUUAACCCAUCGAGAGUUGAUUUUUGUAUAUGGUGUAAGGAAGGGGUGCAGUUUCAAUCUUAUGUAUAUGGCUAGCCAGUUAUCCCAUCACCAUUCAUUAAAUAGGAAACUCUUUCCCAAUUGCUUGCUUGUGUCAAAUUUGUCAAAGAUCAGACAAUUUCAGAUGUGUGUUGUUU